UACGAAGGGGGCUAGCGUUGUUCGGAAUUACUGGGCGUAAAGCGCACGUAGGCGGAUAUUUAAGUCAGUGGUGAAAUCCCGGGGCUCAACCCCGGAACUGCCUUUAAUACUGGGUAUCUCGAGUCCGGAAGAGGUGAGUGGAAUUCCGAGUGUAGAGGUGAAAUUCGUAGAUAUUCGGAGGAACACCAGUGGCGAAGGCGGCUCACUGGUCCGGUACUGACGCUGAGGUGCGAAAGCGUGGGGAGCAAACAGG
rnacentral:rRNA from 1 species